rnacentral:rRNA from 1 species
CCCACUCUUUGCAGGAGGCAGUUAUGAGACGUGAAGAUGAGUAUCUUGUAAAGAGGGAUAGGAGAAUUGGAGGGCAAGUUUGGUGCCAGCAGCCGCGGUAAUACCGACUCCAAGAGUGUGUAUGAGAGAUGCUGCAGUUAAAAAGUCCGUAGUCAUAGAAGGGCAAAGAGAGAUGCGAGGUCUCACAGUGCGAUGAUGGAGGAGCCGAUGGGGAACAUAGUAUACCAGGGCGAGAGAUGAAAUGCCAAGACCCCUGGUGGACUGAGCGAGGCGAAGGCGAUGUUCUUGUAGGCAUUCGGUGAUCAAGGACGAAGGCUGGAGUAUCGAAAGUGAUUAGAUACCGCAGUAGUUCCAGCAGUAAAAGAUGCCGACAUGCUCAUUGGACACAGUGGGCAGGGAGAAAUCUUAGAGUUCGGGCUCUGGGGAUAGUAUGCUCGCAAGGGUGAAAAUUAAAGAAAUUGACGGAGCUACACCACAAGGAGUGGAUUGUGCGGCUUAAUUUGACUCAACGCGAGGAAACUUACCAGGGCCAAGUAUUGUGUAGAAACGAGCAAUACAGGAGUGGUGCAUGGUCGUUGGAAAUUGAUGGGAUGACUUUGACCUUAAAUGGUUGAAUGAGUGAGAUCUUUUGGACAUGUUCCGCACGGAACAGGAAGGAAAAGGCUAUAACAGAUCCGAGAUGCCCUCAGAUGCCCUGGGCUGCACGCGCAAUACAAUAGCAGGUAGAGAGAGAGACAGGAAGGUGCUCAGAUGGACUAUGUGCUGUAAGGCAC